UACAGAGGGGGCAAGCGUUGUUCGGAAUUACUGGGCGUAAAGGGCGCGUAGGCGCCUUCUAAGUCGAACGUGAAAUCCCCGGGCUCAACCCGGGAACUGCGUCCGAUACUGGAAGGCUUGAAUCCGGGAGAGGGAUGCGGAAUUCCAGGUGUAGCGGUGAAAUGCGUAGAUAUCUGGAGGAACACCGGUGGCGAAGGCGGCGACCUGGGUAGAUACGUGACGCUGAGGUGCGAAAGCGUGGGGAGCAAACAGGG
rnacentral:rRNA from 1 species